rfam:Ciona savignyi cont_20458, whole genome shotgun sequence.
GGCCAGUUGGUCUAGGGGCAUAAUUCUCGCUUUGGGUGCGAGAGGUCCCGGGUUCAAAUCCCGGACGGGCCC